GUCUACGGCCAUGCCACCCUGAACGUGCCCAAUCUCGUCUGAUUUCGGAAGCUAAGCAGUGUCAGGCCUGGUUAUUACUUGGAUGGGAUUCCACCUAGGAAGACCAGGUGCUUUGGAUG
rnacentral:rRNA from 1 species